rnacentral:rRNA from 1 species
GUAGGACGCACAGUUUAUACCGUAGCUUGCUACACCAUAGACUGUGAGUUGCCAACGGGUGAGUAACGCGUAGGUAACCUACCUAUUAGAGGGGGAUAACUAUUGGAAACGAUAGCUAAUACCGCAUAACAGUAUGUAACACAUGUUAGAUGCUUGAAAGAUGCAAUUGCAUCGCUAGUAGAUGGACCUGCGUUGUAUUAGCUAGUAGGUAGGGUAAUGGCCUACCUAGGCAACGAUACAUAGCCGACCUGAGAGGGUGAUCGGCCACACUGGGACUGAGACACGGCCCAGACUCCUACGGGAGGCAGCAGUAGGGAAUCUUCGGCAAUGGGGGGAACCCUGACCGAGCAACGCCGCGUGAGUGAAGAAGGUUUUCGGAUCGUAAAGCUCUGUUGUUAAGGAAGAACGAGUGUGAGAAUGGAAAGUUCAUGCUGUGACGGUACUUAACCAGAAAGGGACGGCUAACUACGUGCCAGCAGCCGCGGUAAUACGUAGGUCCCGAGCGUUGUCCGGAUUUAUUGGGCGUAAAGCGAGCGCAGGCGGUUAGAAAAGUCUGAAGUGAAAGGCAGUGGCUCAACCAUUGUAGGCUUUGGAAACUGUUUAACUUGAGUGCAGAAGGGGAGAGUGGAAUUCCAUGUGUAGCGGUGAAAUGCGUAGAUAUAUGGAGGAACACCGGUGGCGAAAGCGGCUCUCUGGUCUGUAACUGACGCUGAGGCUCGAAAGCGUGGGGAGCGAACAGGAUUAGAUACCCUGGUAGUCCACGCCGUAAACGAUGAGUGCUAGGUGUUAGGUCCUUUCCGGGACUUAGCG